rnacentral:rRNA from 1 species
CAGCAGCCGCGGUAAUACAGAGGGUGCAAGCGUUAAUCGGAAUUACUGGGCGUAAAGCGCGCGUAGGUGGUUUGUUAAGUUGGAUGUGAAAGCCCAGGGCUCAACCUGGGAACUGCAUCCAAAACUGGCAAGCUAGAGUACGGUAGAGGGUGGUGGAAUUUCCUGUGUAGCGGUGAAAUGCGUAGAUAUAGGAAGGAACACCAGUGGCGAAGGCGACCACCUGGACUGAUACUGACACUGAGGUGCGAAAGCGUGGGGAGCAAACAGGAUUAGAUACCCGGGUAGUCCCUGUCUCUUAUAA